rnacentral:rRNA from 1 species
UACGGGGGGGAGCUAGCGUUUUUUCGGAAUUAUUGGGCGUAAAGGGCGUGUAGGCGGUUAAUAAAGUUGAAAGUGAAAAUCCCCAGGCUUAACCUGGGAACUGCUUUCAAAACUCAUUAACUAGAGGACGAUAGAGGAUAGCAGAAUUCCUAGUGUAGAGGUGAAAUUCUUAGAUAUUAGGAGGAAUACCGGUGGCGAAGGCGGCUAUCUGGAUCGUAUCUGACGCUGAGGCGCGAAAGCGUGGGGAGCAAACCGG